AAGUCUCUCGCUCUCUUACAUGCUGAUAUUCAUAGAUGGGUUUCCGCCGGUUGGUUGGUUCGUUUGUCUGUGGAAUUUACGGGAUAAAUUUGAUCUGUUUCGCUUGGAGUGAAUUGGCUUCUAAGAACUGUCAAUCGUCUUAUAAGUAUUCGUACAUCUUUCAGUAUGACAGUUAUGCAGCCUGCCCUUACAAUGAGCAAGUCUGCAAUGGGUGGUUCUUGGGGAGAAGAUGCACCACCUAUACAAAAUAUUAUCGGUGUGUCAAGAAAAUGUCGCGGGUGGAUUUCGCUUACCAAUAUUUUGAUGUCUGUUGCCCUGGUUACAUAGAACUGAACAACGGAACUUGCCUAAGAGGCUGCGCGGAGGGUAAAUACGGGACUGAGUGUGAAAGAGAUUGUAAUUGUCAAGGCCACGCCUACCCUGGGUGUGACAUAGACACCGGAAACUGCACGUGUCUUCCAGGCUGGACAGGAAGUGAUUGUAAUAAAGUCUGUCCCAAUGGAUGGUUUGGUUCAAACUGCAGCAGCGAAUGCCUGUGUAAAAAUAACGCCACCUGCAGCCCGAUAGGUGGCGCAUGUAACUGUACUACCCCAGGGUGGACUGGCCAGUUCUGUCAGGAAGGUGUGCACAGAGUUAUUGAUUUAAAAUUAAUUUAAAACGUUUCUAGCGACAAUGUGAAAGAUCGAAAGCCUUCUGAGGCCAAAUCGAAAUUCAAAAAAUGUUAUUAAUACUAGAUAAAUAGACGUUAAAACGAGCUAAAGUCGUUAUUACGAGAUAAAAAGGUUUAUUGAUUUAUCUUAACAUUAAGGACUUUGUGAAAGUGUCCCCUAGGCGUGUAAGUAAAAGCAUUUAACAACCAUAUACAGUUAGUGCAGAAGUAAUGACACGUGAGUCUCUGGCUGUCUGUCUGUCAGUCUGUUCGUCCGUAUGUCGAUCUCUCUGUCUGUCUGUCGAUCUGUCCGUCUGUCUCUUUCUCUCAUUAUCGCUUUGUCUCUUUCAAAUUUCAAAUUAAUUGAUAUAUUUUAUUUUAGAAUGCAACUCAACACGUUUUGGUAGAAACUGCCAAGAAAAUUGCACGUGUGGUGUCAAUGAAACGUGUAGUCGGUUUGAUGGUCUCUGCGCGUGCAUUGCGGGCAAAACAGGAGUGAACUGCUCUGAGGAUUGUCCUGCAUACAGAUUUGGACCAAACUGCACCAAUUCCUGUUCAUGUGCACAUUCAACUGGAUGUGACGCAGUAACGGGAAAGUGUAUCUGUGAUGUUGGAUACACAGGAGAGCAAUGCAAUGAAGGACAUUCUGAGACUUGACGGUAGUUUGAUGACUUUCAGUCUGUAGUUCCGGUACAUACGGCGCGGGAUGUAACCAGACCUGUAACUGUACGGGGGCCGAGGUCUGCGAACCCGACACGGGCGAGUGCAUCUCACGUUGUGUGUGCCAUGAAGAGGGUACAGCUAACUGCAACUCCCUGUAUGAUUCCUGCAGAUGUUUGCCUUAUCACAACCACACUUGUCAUGAUGAAAAUGUAUUUCUUAAAGAAAGAUGCAGAGGUAAAUAUAACAUCUUGUGAUUUAAACUAUGGUAGCAAGUACAUAUGAAGCCUCAUUGAUCAAGUUUUGAUAUUUUUAAAUGUCUUUGAACCCUGCAGAUGUAUGUGAAUGUUCUUCCCCAACUGAUACUUGUUGUGUUUCGAACUCGUCCAUGUGCCAAUGUAAGGAUGGCUGGACCGGCCGGAAGUGCUCCACAGGUAAAUGUUCUUGACCUUGAGGUCAAAGUGUAUUCGGUAAAAAAAUACAGGAUACAAACGUCAUAGAGGAGUGUCACGUGUUACUACCUACACAAUUCUGCCAGUCUCAUUUUUCUUUUACAUUUUCUCUUAACAGUGGUUCCCCCGAAACAAUUUUAUUUUGAUAAAUCACUAACCAAUUCAGUAGCUUCUUUUUUGUUUUGUUUGUUUAUUAGCAUGUCCACAAGGAACUUUUGGGAGAAAAUGUUAUGGCAUCUGCAAUUGUUCAGCAGACGAACUGUGUCACCACGUGAGCGGAAAUUGUAUUUCUCUUGAUACGGCAGAAACCACUCGCCUUGUAAAGACAUGUCAUGCUGUGAGUGUUUCAAACCUCAUAACAAGAGAGCAUCAAUUACUAGAAGAUACACAGAGCUACAUGAGGAUUUGAGCUGGGUAACCUCUGACAGCGACUACGACCACUUGUCCAGACCAGGUCAGGCCAAAUCCGAGCUCCAGAUAGACUUUGACCCGACCUACAACAGAACAAGUGAGACUGGGGAUGAGUACGGUACCACAGCUCUCCCGUGUGGUUCCAAUAUAGUUACAUCGGAAGAUGAGUACAGUCAUAUCAAAGGAAAUGAACAAGCAGCAAACAGUAUUUAUGAUACUUCACAAAGAACUAAGGUCCAAGUGGACGAGAAUGUGUACAGCGGUGACAAUAGUUCUGUGAUUUUCUAAUGCAGUUUGUUACUAUAUCUCUGUGAUCUUACGCCUGUGUGAUAAAUUCUUAAUCUAUACAAACUUGAUCAUUUCGUAUGCAAUAUUUCUUAAUGAACACAUACGGAUUAAUGCAACAAAUCUAAGUCAUGAUGAAUGUGUACUAGAUGUGGUAUUAAAUCUAUGUCAUUAUUAUGG
rnacentral:misc_RNA from 1 species